rnacentral:rRNA from 1 species
UACGAAGGGGGGCUAGCGUUGUUCGGAAUCACUGGGCGUAAAGGGCGCGUAGGCGGCCGAUCAAGUCGGGGGUGAAAGCCUGUGGCUCAACCACAGAAUUGCCUUCGAUACUGUUUGGCUUGAGACCGGAAGAGGUAAGUGGAACUGCGAGUGUAGAGGUGAAAUUCGUAGAUAUUCGCAAGAACACCAGUGGCGAAGGCGGCUUACUGGUCCGGUUCUGACGCUGAGGCGCGAAAGCGUGGGGAGCAAACAGG